UGUAUCGGUUGUUACUUUUUCCGGUGAUGAUCUCUAACAUUAGGACACCGAAGCUAUAGACAUCCGAUUUCAUUGAGAAAUGGCCAUGCAUCGCAUACUCUGGAGACAUAUAACCACUAAAAUCAUACAACAAAAAGAAAGGGUAAGAACUUGUUUGAAACCUGUAGAAGAAGUUGUUAGGAAUCUGUAGCAAACUUUUUAGAAGGAAUGCUUACUAUGUUCCAACUACAUGUUUAGUAUUGCCCUCAAUUUGUUCUGCUCCAAAUAUUCUGGCCAUGCCAAAAUCCGAAAUUUUCGGAUUCAUUGUGGCAUCUAGGAGUACAUUGCUUGCCUUCAAAUCUCUGUGAAUGACUCUUAACCUGGAAUCCUGGUGAAGAUACAGCAUUCCUCGUGCAAUCC